rnacentral:rRNA from 1 species
GGAUUGAACGCUAGCGGGAUGCUUUACACAUGCAAGUCGAACGGCAGCGCGGACUUCGGUCUGGCGGCGAGUGGCGAACGGGUGAGUAAUAUAUCGGAACGUGCCCAGUAGCGGGGGAUAACUACGCGAAAGCGUGGCUAAUACCGCAUACGCCCGUACGGGGGAAAGGGGGGAUCGCAAGACCUCUCACUAUUGGAGCGGCCGAUAUCAGAUUAGCUAGUUGGUGAGGUAAAGGCUCACCAAGGCGACGAUCUGUAGCUGGUUUGAGAGGACGACCAGCCACACUGGGACUGAGACACGGCCCAGACUCCUACGGGA